rnacentral:lncRNA from 1 species
AGCACCAUAUGGAUUAUAGUCAUUGUGACUUUAAGAAUUACAACCAUUAUUUAAGUACUACAAGUGCUAUAUGGAUGUUGUAACCAUGAUUGUGCUCUCACAGUAUAUUUAAUGCAAUAUCAAGAGUUAUAAGCAAGGUUAUGACCUAUGAUCUUAGGGUAACGUCUUUUUGGUGGUUUUGGGCUAUGAAUAUCCCCUC